rnacentral:rRNA from 1 species
AACGAACGCUGGCGGCAUGCCUAACACAUGCAAGUCGAACGAGACCUUCGGGUCUAGUGGCGCACGGGUGCGUAACGCGUGGGAACCUGCCCUUAGGUUCGGAAUAACUCCCCGAAAGGGGUGCUAAUACCGGAUAAUGUCUUCGGACCAAAGAUUUAUCGCCUUUGGAUGGGCCCGCGUUGUAUUAGCUAGUUGGUAGGGUAAAAGCCUACCAAGGCGACGAUCCAUAGCUGGGCUGAGAGGAUGAUCAGCCACACUGGGACUGAGACACGGCCCAGACUCCUACGGGAGGCAGCAGUGGGGAAUAUUGGACAAUGGGCUAAAGCCUGAUCCAGCAAUGCCGCGUGAGUGAUGAAGGCCUUAGGGUUGUAAAGCUCUUUUACCCGGGAUGAUAAUGACAGUACCGGGAGAAUAAGCUCCGGCUAACUCCGUG